UGCCUUAUGGUGUAAUGGUGAGCACAUUGGUCUCUAAAACCGAGAGAGUGAGUUCGAAUCUCACUGGGGCUACAA
rnacentral:tRNA from 1 species